AACGAACGCUGGCGGCGUGGAUAAGACAUGCAAGUCGAACGCUAAUUUCAGGGUAGCAAUAUUCUGAAGUUGGAGUGGCGUAAGGGUGCGUAACACGUGGGCAAUUUGCCAUGAAGUUGGGGAUAACUCGCUGAAAGGCGAGCUAAUACCGAAUGUGACUUCUCGGGGGCCUCCCUGGGCAGUUAAAGUUGGGGACCGCAAGGCCUGGACGCUUCAUGAUAAGCCCGCGGCCUAUCAGCUAGUUGGUGAGGUAACGGCCCACCAAGGCAAAGACGGGUAGCUGGUCUGACGAGGACGACCAGCCACACUGGAACUGAGACACGGUCCAGACACCUACGGGUGGCUG
rnacentral:rRNA from 1 species